ACGAACGCUGGCGGCAUGCCUAACACAUGCAAGUCGAACGAGACCUUCGGGUCUAGUGGCACACGGGUGCGUAACGCGUGGGAACCUGCCCUUAGGUUCGGAAUAACUCCCCGAAAGGGGUGCUAAUACCGGAUAAUGUCUUCGGACCAAAGAUUUAUCGCCUUUGGAUGGGCCCGCGUUGGAUUAGCUAGUUGGUAGGGUAAAAGCCUACCAAGGCGACGAUCCAUAGCUGGUCUGAGAGGAUGAUCAGCCACACUGGGACUGAGACACGGCCCAGACUCCUACGGGAGGCAGCAGUGGGGAAUAUUGGACAAUGGGCGAAAGCCUGAUCCAGCAAUGCCGCGUGAGUGAUGAAGGCCUUAGGGUUGUAAAGCUCUUUUACCCGGGAUGAUAAUGACAGUACCGGGAGAAUAAGCUCCGGCUAACUCCGUG
rnacentral:rRNA from 1 species